rnacentral:rRNA from 1 species
ACGAACGCUGGCGGCAGGCUUAACACAUGCAAGUCGAGCGCCCCGCAAGGGGAGCGGCAGACGGGUGAGUAACACGUGGGGAUCUGCCCAAUGGUACGGAAUAGCUCCGGGAAACUGGAAAUAAUACCGUAUGUGCCCGCAAGGGGAAAGAUUUAUCGCCAUUGGAUGAACCCGCGUCGGAUUAGCUAGUUGGUGUGGUAAAGGCGCACCAAGGCGACGAUCCGUAGCUGGUCUGAGAGGAUGAUCAGCCACACUGGGACUGAGACACGGCCCAGACUCCUACGGGAGGCAGCAGUGGGGAAUAUUGGACAAUGGGCGCAAGCCUGAUCCAGCCAUGCCGCGUGAGUGAUGAAGGCCUUAGGGUUGUAAAGCUCUUUCGCCGACGAAGAUAAUGACGGUAGUCGGAGAAGAAGCCCCGGCUAACUUCGU